rnacentral:rRNA from 1 species
GACGAAGGGGGCUAGCGUUGCUCGGAAUUACUGGGCGUAAAGGGCGCGUAGGCGGACAGUUUAGUCAGAGGUGAAAGCCCAGGGCUCAACCUUGGAAUUGCCUUUGAUACUGGCUGUCUUGAGUUCGGGAGAGGUGAGUGGAAUGCCGAGUGUAGAGGUGAAAUUCGUAGAUAUUCGGCGGAACACCAGUGGCGAAGGCGACUCACUGGCCCGAUACUGACGCUGAGGCGCGAAAGCGUGUGGAGCAAACAGG